rnacentral:rRNA from 1 species
AAAGGGGAAGCUGAAGCAUAAGUUCCUUGGAACAGGACGUCAAAGAGGGUGAAAACCCCGUAUGUAGCUUUAGCUGAACCGAAUGUUGGCUUUCUAAGAGUCGGGUUGUUUGGGAUUGCAGCCCUAAAUGGGAGAUAAACUUCUUCUAAGGCUAAAUAUCUAUGGGAAACCGAUAGCGAACAAGUACUGUGAAGGAAAGGUGAAAAGAACUUUGAAAAGAGGGUUAAAAGACUUGAAAUCGUUGAGAAGGAAGCGGUAAAAGUGGAUUUGAGUUAGUUAUGAAGUAAGCUAUGUGAGGAACCGGCUUGAGGUGGCCUAUGUACGUCAUUGGCUAAGCUGCUUCAAAGUAACGGCACUCUAUGGUGAUUUCAUAGCUAAAGGGCAGAACCAGGUCUGCACUUGCAGGAAUCAGUUGGGGCGGAGUCCACGGCUUGCCGUGAAUGCCUUAACAAAACUGUAAGUUGGCCUGAGGAAAAUGAGGUUCUGCCACAACGGCUUUUACCGACCCGUCUUGAAACACGGACCAAGGAGUCUAUCACAUAUGCGAGUUUGCGAGUGCAAAAACUCAUAGGCUUAAUGAAAGUAAGUAUAAGGUGCCAAGGGGGGAGGUACGCCUCUUUCCUGCAGCAUCGACCGACCAUGAUCUUCUGUGAAAGGUUCGAGUAAGAGCAUAUUUGGUAGGACCCGAAAGAUGGUGAACUAUGCUUGAGUAGGGUGAAGCCAGGGGAAACUCUGGUGGAGGCUCGUAGCGAUACUGACGUGCAAAUCGUUCGUCAAACUUGAGUAUAGGGGCGAAAGACUAAUCGAACCAUCUAGUAGCUGGUUCCCUCUGAAGUUUCUCUCAGGAUAGCUGGAACGUAUAAUGCAGUUUUAUUAGGUAAAGCGAAUGAUUAGAGGCAUCAGAGGUGAAACACCUUUGACCUAUUCUCAAACUUUAAAUUGGUAAGAACCUGCAGUUUCUUAAAUUAUGAACUGUGGGGCAGAAUGCAUCGUUCUAAGUGGGCCGUUUUUGGUAAGCAGAACUGGCGAUGAGGGAUGAACCUAACGUUGAGUUAAGGCGCCCAAAUGUACACUCAUCAGAUACCAUAAAAGGUGUUGAUUCAUAAAGACAGCAGGACGGUGGCCAUGGAAGUCGGAAUCCGCUAAGGAGUGUGUAACAACUCACCUGCCGAAUGAAUUAGCCCUGAAAAUUGAUGGCGCUGAAGUGUACUGCCGAUACUCAACCAUUAGUGCAAAUCAUUAUGAGGCACUAAUGAGUAAGAGGGCGUGGGGGCAUUAAGUGUAGAAGCCUUUAGCGUGAGCUUUGGUGGAACUGCCCCUAGUGCAGAUCUUGGUGGUAGUAGCAAAUAUUCAAAUGAGAACUUUGAAGGCCGAAGUGGAGAAGGGUUCCAUGAGAACAGCAAUUGGUCAUGGGUUACUCGAUCCUAAGAUAUAGGGAAACCCCUUUCUUUUAUACACGUGGCAGCUUGUCUGCCCGAUAUCAAAAGGGAAUCCGGUUAAUAUUCCGGAAGCGGGAUGUGGAUUUUGUGGUAACACUUACAAGCGAGCUCGGAGACGUCGGCAUGGACCCCUAGAAGAGUUAUCUUUUCUUUUUAACUGUCUGUCGCCUUGAAAUUGGAUUAUCCAGAGCUAAGGCUUAUAUGACAGGAAGAGCAUCUCACUCUAUGAGAUGUUAGGUGCGUUCGUGACGAUCCUUGAAAAUCCGAGUAAGAGGUUGAUUACACACCCGAUCGUACCAAUAACC